GCCCUCAAGGCACGUCUUCUCAAUAGUUUCCUUUUCUUCCUUCCUUCGUUCCAACUAGUUCAUACUACUCAACAAUGAUGAUGAUGCAGUACCUUUGGACAUACUUCGUGUGGCGUUCGUCUGUCAAUUCCAUUGGAAUCAGGUGCCUCCACAACGAUGUUGUGAUGGAGCUCAUGUGGGGUCUCAAGCAUCUCUUGAAAUACUUUGUGCCUGAAGAGAAAGAGUCUGAUCUCACCGGGGAACACAACAUCCACAUGAGCAAGGGACUGGAUAUCCUGCUACGGCGUAAUGGAUUCCAUCAUGUCCAACCAAACAUGGUACGUCGUAUUAUUAGGUUUGUUCCGUACUCCUUCAUUUCUAAUAUAUUUUCC